rnacentral:rRNA from 1 species
UACGAAGGGGGCUAGCGUUGUUCGGAAUCACUGGGCGUAAAGCGCACGUAGGCGGAUCUUUUAAGUCAGGGGGUGAAAUCCCGAGGCUCAACCUCGGAACUGCCUUUGAUACUGGGGAUCUCGAGUUCGGGAGAGGUGAGUGGAACUGCGAGUGUAGAGGUGAAAAUUCGUAGAUAUUCGCAAGAACACCAGUGGCGAAGGCGGCUCACUGGCCCGAUACUGACACUGAGGUGCGAAAGCGUGGGGAGCAAACAGG